rnacentral:rRNA from 1 species
AUUGAACGCUGGCGGCAUGCCUUACACAUGCAAGUCGAACGGCAGCACGGGUGCUUGCACCUGGUGGCGAGUGGCGAACGGGUGAGUAAUACAUCGGAACAUACCUUAUCGUGGGGGAUAACGCAGCGAAAGCUGUGCUAAUACCGCAUACGCCCUGAGGGGGAAAGCGGGGGAUCGAAAGACCUCGCGCGAUUAGAGCGGCCGAUGCCUGAUUAGCUGGUUGGUGGGGUAAAAGCCCACCAAGGCGACGAUCAGUAGCUGGUCUGAGAGGACGAUCAGCCACACUGGGACUGAGACACGGCCCAGACUCCUACGGGAGGCAGCGGUGGGGAAUUUUGGACAAUGGGGGCAACCCUGAUCCAGCAAUGCCGCGUGAGUGAAGAAGGCCUUCGGGUUGUAAAGCUCUUUUGUCAGGGAAGAAACACCGGCUCUAACACAGUCCGGGAAUGACGGUACCUGAAGAAUAAGCACCGGCUAACUACGUGCCAGCCGCCGCGGUAA